rnacentral:snRNA from 1 species
AUGCUUGCUUCAGCAGCACAUAUACUAACUUUGGAAUGAUAUGGAGAAGAUUAGCAUGGCUCCUGCGCAAGGAUGACACGCAAAUUCAUGAAGCAUUCCAUUAAAAA